ACGUAGGGGGCAAGCGUUAUCCGGAAUUAUUGGGCGUAAAGAGUGCGUAGGUGGUUUUUUAAGCGUGAGGUGAAAGGCAAUAGCUUAACUAUUGUAAGCCUUGCGAACUGGAAGACUUGAGUGCAGGAGAGGAAAGUGGAAUUCCUAGUGUGCGGGUUAAGUGACUGGAAAUGAGGCGGAGCCCCGAAGGCGUGGGAAACAAACUGGACUAUAUCCGACUCUGCGGCGGGUGAGUGUCUAACGCAAGGAG
rnacentral:rRNA from 1 species